CAAAGCUCCGCUGCCCUCCCGCUCGCUCCCCUCGCGAAGCCCUCCCCACCACUGCCCUGCCCCUGCGGCUCCUCCCCAUCCUCGCUGCCUUGCGCAGCCUCCCCCUCCGUCCGGCCCUCCCUCUCCUCCUGCGGUACCACGGCAGCCCGCACCCUGUGGGUGGCGCAACGCUGCGCGCUGGGGGCGGGGGGAGGUGCGGCCGUCCGGAUCCAGAGCGAGGACCGGUGCGCCCCGGAUCUGCCGGAGCCACCAUGGACUCCCUCCAGCUCCGUCCCAUUCUUCAUGGUGGUGGCCAGAUCUAGCGAGCCCCCACACCGGCAGCGCGUUCGGGGGAGGGGAAGGGCUCAGCUCGUGAGUGAAGAUCGAGUCCAGAUGGAAGGAGGCAGGGAGCGCCGCCCGCGGGGGUGGGGAAAGGUUCGACUCGUGCGUGGAUGGAAGGAGGCAGGGAGCGCCCGGCCACCAUUGCUGGCGAGCCAUCGUAUGGGUGCAUCCACGCCGUGCCGACCCCUUCGACAAGAUCGACAAGGUACUUAGGUUGUGUCCUCCCUGCUCUCCCUAUUCAUGCGUCAGCAUAGUGUGCAGAGGGCACCAGUGCCCCCGCCAGCCAGGGAGACAUGUGCUCCACCACCGCCACCGCUGCCACGAUCGAUGAGGGGCGCCUGGCCUAGUUCGCUGCGGACUGGGAAGCUGUGCGUGUGCACAAGGAGCAAGGGAAGACCUUCAUGCUGACGGUGCUGAGAGCAAACAGCGGCGGGCUCACCGUCAAGUUCAACUCCCUGCAGCUCCGUCCAAUGGUGAAAACAGGAUAUGAGAACCUGUUGCUUGUUAGAUUUCUUAUUGAGAUCCAAAUACCGUCAGUUCGGAAAUCAUCAGUGUCUAUUGUGGAGCACGGGCGAUGGCAAAGAUGGUGGCCAUGGUGCGGAUCUGGGAUUCUUGUUGGAUGCGGGAGCUUGUGUUGGAUCCCAUGGCUUUGCUGCUGGUGUGUGUUUUGUACGAGUCCCUUGCUUAUCAGCUUUCUUUUCGACAAAAAUCAUGCUUCCCUCCAUGAACGAGCUCCUUCCAUGUCCAACCAUGGUGCUUUUGAGUCAGGAUGUUAGGUUGGGAUGGGCUAAUGAUGAUUCUCACGGGUGAGAUGGUAUUCACCAGGUUAGAACAGCAAUUUAUGUUUUAUAAAUAGUCCUCCAGUGAACCUCCAGUCUGAUCGACAGUGUAGAUUCAUGACCAAGAACACCAUUGUCCUGCUUGAAAUGCCCUUUUCCUGCAAGAGAAUUUUUUUGCUCUGGUAUUGGAUUUGCCCUUUUCCUUCAAGAUAAUUUUUUGCUCAGGUAUUGGAUUGUUCGCUAAUUUAAUAUAUCCUUUUGAUAUUCCAUCAUGGUAUGCUUUAGGGUGUACUGUUUCAAUUUUUUGGGCCUUUACAAUGAACAAUCCCUAGAAGAAUCCGGUGCAAGGCCAAGCAAUUCAGGCUCUUAUGCUAAACCUGUACAAGUGCAUUAGGCACUCAGCAAGAAAUCAUAUCAGAGUUGGAUCAGAGAUGUCCACGAAGCUCUAUCAAUGCAAGCCAUGUAUGAACUUGUCCAGCCCUGGUGUGUACUUGACCCUGCAUAUCAACUGUUUUUCCAUAGUAAUCUGAUUAAGCACCUGCAUAAACCUGAGAAUUUUCCUACUGUCUGUUUCCUUAAAAUAAAGACCUGGACCCUAACCUGCUCCAUAAAUUGCAGGUUUUGUACUUUGUUUGCUCUCAAUCAAGGUGCGUCAGCAUAGCUUCCUCUUAUGUUUUUGUGUAGUCUCUGUUAGGAAGCUUGUUAGUGGUCACUCAUCUGCCUGUUACUGAAAUUUAAAUGUCAACCUCUGGGAUGACAAGUGCUUGUUACUGUUGGAGCUCGUCGCAGAGAUUAGAUAUAUUUAGAAGGAUUUCACUCCUUAUUUUUGCCAUCAUGUGGCUGCCUCUUGCUUUCUCUAAUCCGUGCACAUAUUGUGGCAUUUCAUUUUCA